rnacentral:rRNA from 1 species
GGUUAAGCGACUAAGCGUACACGGUGGAUGCCCUGGCAGUCAGAGGCGAUGAAGGACGUGCUAAUCUGCGAUAAGCGUCGGUAAGGUGAUAUGAACCGUUAUAACCGGCGAUUUCCGAAUGGGGAAACCCAGUGUGUUUCGACACACUAUCAUUAACUGAAUCCAUAGGUUAAUGAGGCGAACCGGGGGAACUGAAACAUCUAAGUACCCCGAGGAAAAGAAAUCAACCGAGAUUCCCCCAGUAGCGGCGAGCGAACGGGGAGGAGCCCAGAGCCUGAAUCAGUGUGUGUGUUAGUGGAAGCGUCUGGAAAGGCGCGCGAUACAGGGUGACAGCCCCGUACACAAAAAUGCACAUACUGUGAGCUCGAUGAGUAGGGCGGGACACGUGGUAUCCUGUCUGAAUAUGGGGGGACCAUCCUCCAAGGCUAAAUACUCCUGACUGACCGAUAGUGAACCAGUACCGUGAGGGAAAGGCGAAAAGAACCCCGGCGAGGGGAGUGAAAAAGAACCUGAAACCGUGUACGUACAAGCAGUGGGAGCACGCUUAGGCGUGUGACUGCGUACCUUUUGUAUAAUGGGUCAGCGACUUAUAUUCUGUAGCAAGGUUAACCGAAUAGGGGAGCCGAAGGGAAACCGAGUCUUAACUGGGCGUUAAGUUGCAGGGUAUAGACCCGAAACCCGGUGAUCUAGCCAUGGGCAGGUUGAAGGUUGGGUAACACUAACUGGAGGACCGAACCGACUAAUGUUGAAAAAUUAGCGGAUGACUUGUGGCUGGGGGUGAAAGGCCAAUCAAACCGGGAGAUAGCUGGUUCUCCCCGAAAGCUAUUUAGGUAGCGCCUCGUGAAUUCAUCUCCGGGGGUAGAGCACUGUUUCGGCAAGGGGGUCAUCCCGACUUACCAACCCGAUGCAAACUGCGAAUACCGGAGAAUGUUAUCACGGGAGACACACGGCGGGUGCUAACGUCCGUCGUGAAGAGGGAAACAACCCAGACCGCCAGCUAAGGUCCCAAAGUCAUGGUUAAGUGGGAAACGAUGUGGGAAGGCCCAGACAGCCAGGAUGUUGGCUUAGAAGCAGCCAUCAUUUAAAGAAAGCGUAAUAGCUCACUGGUCGAGUCGGCCUGCGCGGAAGAUGUAACGGGGCUAAACCAUGCACCGAAGCUGCGGCAGCGACGCUGAUGCGUUGUUGGGUAGGGGAGCGUUCUGUAAGCCUGCGAAGGUGUGCUGUGAGGCAUGCUGGAGGUAUCAGAAGUGCGAAUGCUGACAUAAGUAACGAUAAAGCGGGUGAAAAGCCCGCUCGCCGGAAGACCAAGGGUUCCUGUCCAACGUUAAUCGGGGCAGGGUGAGUCGACCCCUAAGGCGAGGCCGAAAGGCGUAGUCGAUGGGAAACAGGUUAAUAUUCCUGUACUUGGUGUUACUGCGAAGGGGGGACGGAGAAGGCUAUGUUGGCCGGGCGACGGUUGUCCCGGUUUAAGCGUGUAGGCUGGUUUUCCAGGCAAAUCCGGAAAAUCAAGGCUGAGGCGUGAUGACGAGGCACUACGGUGCUGAAGCAACAAAUGCCCUGCUUCCAGGAAAAGCCUCUAAGCAUCAGGUAACAUCAAAUCGUACCCCAAACCGACACAGGUGGUCAGGUAGAGAAUACCAAGGCGCUUGAGAGAACUCGGGUGAAGGAACUAGGCAAAAUGGUGCCGUAACUUCGGGAGAAGGCACGCUGAUAUGUAGGUGAAGCGACUUGCUCGUGGAGCUGAAAUCAGUCGAAGAUACCAGCUGGCUGCAACUGUUUAUUAAAAACACAGCACUGUGCAAACACGAAAGUGGACGUAUACGGUGUGACGCCUGCCCGGUGCCGGAAGGUUAAUUGAUGGGGUUAGCGCAAGCGAAGCUCUUGAUCGAAGCCCCGGUAAACGGCGGCCGUAACUAUAACGGUCCUAAGGUAGCGAAAUUCCUUGUCGGGUAAGUUCCGACCUGCACGAAUGGCGUAAUGAUGGCCAGGCUGUCUCCACCCGAGACUCAGUGAAAUUGAACUCGCUGUGAAGAUGCAGUGUACCCGCGGCAAGACGGAAAGACCCCGUGAACCUUUACUAUAGCUUGACACUGAACAUUGAGCCUUGAUGUGUAGGAUAGGUGGGAGGCUUUGAAGUGUGGACGCCAGUCUGCAUGGAGCCGACCUUGAAAUACCACCCUUUAAUGUUUGAUGUUCUAACGUUGACCCGUGAUCCGGGUUGCGGACAGUGUCUGGUGGGUAGUUUGACUGGGGCGGUCUCCUCCUAAAGAGUAACGGAGGAGCACGAAGGUUGGCUAAUCCUGGUCGGACAUCAGGAGGUUAGUGCAAUGGCAUAAGCCAGCUUGACUGCGAGCGUGACGGCGCGAGCAGGUGCGAAAGCAGGUCAUAGUGAUCCGGUGGUUCUGAAUGGAAGGGCCAUCGCUCAACGGAUAAAAGGUACUCCGGGGAUAACAGGCUGAUACCGCCCAAGAGUUCAUAUCGACGGCGGUGUUUGGCACCUCGAUGUCGGCUCAUCACAUCCUGGGGCUGAAGUAGGUCCCAAGGGUAUGGCUGUUCGCCAUUUAAAGUGGUACGCGAGCUGGGUUUAGAACGUCGUGAGACAGUUCGGUCCCUAUCUGCCGUGGGCGCUGGAGAAUUGAGGGGGGCUGCUCCUAGUACGAGAGGACCGGAGUGGACGCAUCACUGGUGUUCGGGUUGUCAUGCCAAUGGCACUGCCCGGUAGCUAAAUGCGGAAGAGAUAAGUGCUGAAAGCAUCUAAGCACGAAACUUGCCCCGAGAUGAGUUCUCCCUGACUCCUUGAGAGUCCUGAAGGAACGUUGAAGACGACGACGUUGAUAGGCCGGGUGUGUAAGCGCAGCGAUGCGUUGAGCUAACCGGUACUAAUGAACCGUGAGGCUUAACCUU